GAUGAACGCUGGCGGCGUGCCUAAUACAUGCAAGUCGAGCGAACAGACGAGGAGCUUGCUCCUCUGACGUUAGCGGCGGACGGGUGAGUAACACGUGGAUAACCUACCUAUAAGACUGGGAUAACUUCGGGAAACCGGAGCUAAUACCGGAUAAUAUAUUGAACCGCAUGGUUCAAUAGUGAAAGACGGUCUUGCUGUCACUUAUAGAUGGAUCCGCGCCGCAUUAGCUAGUUGGUAAGGUAACGGCUUACCAAGGCAACGAUGCGUAGCCGACCUGAGAGGGUGAUCGGCCACACUGGAACUGAGACACGGUCCAGACUCCUACGGGAGGCAGCAGUAGGGAAUCUUCCGCAAUGGGCGAAAGCCUGACGGAGCAACGCCGCGUGAGUGAUGAAGGUCUUCGGAUCGUAAAACUCUGUUAUUAGGGAAGAACAAAUGUGUAAGUAACUGUGCACAUCUUGACGGUACCUAAUCAGAAAGCCACGGCUAACUACGUG
rnacentral:rRNA from 1 species